rnacentral:rRNA from 1 species
UACGUAGGGGGCAAGCGUUGUCCGGAUUUAUUGGGCGUAAAGCGCUCGCAGGUGGUUCGAUGCGUCGUGCGUGAAAGACCCCGGCUCAACUGGGGAGGGUCGUGCGAUACGGUCGAACUGGAGGCCAGUAGGGGGAUGCGGAAUUCCGGGUGUAGUGGUGGAAUGCGUAGAGAUCCGGAGGAACACCAGCGGCGAAGGCGGCAUCCUGGACUGGUCCUGACACUCAUGAGCGAAAGCGUGGGGAGCGAACAGG